AAGUCGUAACAAGGUAACCGUAGGUGAACCUGCGGUUGGAUCAUUAAUAAAUUUAAUGAGUAUUUUCUAUGAAUUGGUGUUAAAAAGCCGAUGAGUAGAAAGUAUUUCAACCAAAAUGUGAAUUUGAACAAGUCAUUGAAGGGGUUAAAACAAUGGUUAAACAUUUAUGUUUAAAUAAUUGGGACGGGAAUAGUACACUUGUGUAAUAUUCCCGAGUCCACCCCUUCAAUUAAUUUUAUACCAUGUAUUUCCAAUAUUGACACUAGUAAUUAUUAAAUGUAAAUUUAAAAAACAACUUUUGACAACGGAUCUCUUGGCUCUC
rnacentral:misc_RNA from 1 species